rnacentral:rRNA from 1 species
UGGGGAAUAUUGCACAAUGGGCGAAAGCCUGAUGCAGCAACGCCGCGUGAGGGACGACGGCCUUCGGGUUGUAAACCUCUUUUAGCAAGGAAGAAGCGAAAGUGACGGUACUUGCAGAAAAAGCGCCGGCUAACUACGUGCCAGCAGCCGCGGUAAUACGUAGGGCGCAAGCGUUAUCCGGAAUUAUUGGGCGUAAAGAGCUCGUAGGCGGUUUGUCGCGUCUGCUGUGAAAACCCGAGGCUCAACCUCGGGCCUGCAGUGGGUACGGGCAGACUAGAGUGCGGUAGGGGAGAUUGGAACUCCUGGUGUAGCGGUGGAAUGCGCAGAUAUCAGGAAGAACACCGAUGGCGAAGGCAGAUCUCUGGGCCGUAACUGACGCUGAGGAGCGAAAGGGUGGGGAGCAAACAGGCUUAGAUACCCUGGUAGUCCACCCCGUAAACGUUGGGAACUAGUUGUGGGGUCCAUUCCACGGAUUCCGUGACGCAGCUAACGCAUUAGUUCCCCGCCUGGGGAGUACGGCCGCAAGGCUAGAACUCAAAGGAAUUGACGGGGUCAUAGCUGUUUCCU